UCUUGAUUCAAGAGCAGCUUCCAAUUCCUGCCCUCCUACCUGCAAUUAGGAGACAGAUGGAGACAUUUCCUUCACUGAUUUGUCGGAUUGAUUAACCCGUUCACGACACUGUUAGGGGCAAAAUUACUUCUGAUGCACGAAUAUGUUAGAUGAAGACGAAGUGGUACGUGCAGAGAACUGAUCUCCCAUCCUCCUCCAACAGGGACUCCGACUGGGAUCCACUCACCGUUUCCCCCCUUGGGGCCAUGCGACUCGGGUCGUCAAAAUCAAUUAUCCUCAUCCCCCUUUUUGCUCCUCGUUUAUGAGGAAAACGGGGCAAGGUGAUAAAUCUGUGGCGAUGUCCUGUUGGAAAGAAUUAAAUGACGGAAAAGAGAAGGGAAGAGAAGCCGAGAGGCUCGGAGGUGCCAGCCUUUCCUGACUCAAAAAGCAGUUUGUCUUAAGAGGGUGAAGACAACGGAGCGGUAGAGGGGAGUUGAUCACCUUCUUGGGCCCCGGCUGCAGAGAGGAUAUCGCGCAGCUGGAAGCCUUCAGCGUCCAUUCAGGGCCAGAACUGUAAAAACGUCUUUCAACAUCGAUGCAAGGCAGGAUCGCCUCGGAGCCAGGCCGCUCCGCUGUUGAAAUAAAUGCUCAGGUAUCAUACUGAGAGGAAAACAACAGAUCUGUGACCCAGGGCUGAUAUGUGGGAGAGUUUGUGUCCAUCAAGAUAAUCAAUACCACGUUAUUCACAAGAGCAGAGCCAAGGAGACGUUCUGGUGUUCCCUGCAUUUCUCAUAUUUAAUGCCUGACUGGUUUUAAUAGCUCACUCCCCUCUGAGGUUGGGUGGAGGAUGAGGAACGGGGAGGAGGGGGUUUCGGUACCAACUCCAGCACCACCAAAAAGUCCUUAAGAGAGUUUACCUGCCCUGGCGAGUAACAUAAAGCCCAAACAAUGCAGGGCGUAAUUGGCAUUGAUGCGCUUUAAAAGCCCUCCUCCUCUGCAAACACCUGCAGCCCAUGAAGUCGGGCGGCCCUCUGGGAAAUCACACAUUAGCAUUUAGUCGUUUCAUCUGCUGCUCUAAUCAGAGCCAAACGUUUCAAUAAUACAACACAAGAGCGGUUAUGCAACCCCGAGAACGGGGUGAGCGGGGGGAAAGAGCUCUCAGUGAGAAGGUAUUUCCAGAGGUUGCGAAGUAUUUGGCGCCUGUGCGAAAUGCUUGGAUG
rnacentral:lncRNA from 1 species